CCUACGGGUGGCAGCAGUGGGGAAUAUUGCACAAUGGGGGAAACCCUGAUGCAGCGACGCCGCGUGAGUGAAGAAGUAUUUCGGUACGUAAAGCUCUAUCAGCAGGGAAGAAAAAAAGUCCUUUGGACUUUGGACGGUACCUGUCCAAGAAGCCCCGGCUAACGACGUGCCAGCAGCCGCGGUGAUACGUAGGGGGCAAGCGUUAUCCGGAUUUACUGGGGGUAAAGGGAGCGUAGACGGCGGCGCAAGUCUGGAGUGAAAUGCCGGGGCCCAACCCCGGAACUGCUUUGGAAACUGUGCGGCUGGAGUGCAGGAGGGGUAGGCGGAAUUCCUGGUGUAGCGGUGAAAUGCGUAGAUAUUAGGAGGAACACCAGUGGCGAAGGCGGCUUACUGGACUGCGACUGACGUUGAGGCUCGAAAGCGUGGGGAGCAAACAGGAUUAGAUACCCCUGUAGUC
rnacentral:rRNA from 1 species